rnacentral:rRNA from 1 species
AUACGUAGGGUGCGAGCGUUGUCCGGAAUUACUGGGCGUAAAGAGCUCGUAGGUGGUUUGUCGCGUCGUCUGUGAAAUUCCGGGGCUUAACUCCGGGCGUGCAGGCGAUACGGGCAUAACUUGAGUACUGUAGGGGAGACUGGAAUUCCUGGUGUAGCGGUGAAAUGCGCAGAUAUCAGGAGGAACACCGGUGGCGAAGGGGGGUCUCUGGGCAGUACCUGACGCUGAGGAGCGAAAGCAUGGGUAGCGAACAGGAUGAGAUACCCUGGUAGUCCAUGCCGUAAACGGUGGGCGCUAGGUGUAGGGGUCUUCCACGACUUCUGUGCCGUAGCUAACGCAUUAAGCGCCCCGCCUGGGGAGUACGGCCGCAAGGCUAAAACUCAAAGGAAUUGACGGGG